CUCUGACUGUGUCACUGACUUGCUCACAAACAAUGGUUCCAUGACACCCGUGAUGGGAAGCUGGUGUUUGAGUUAUCUGAUGUCCUGUCCAAGUGAAGAAGCUCCUGCAUCUCUCCCAGCCUCCCCACACACUCCUGCAGAAGGAGCCUUGCACGGGAGCCUCGAGAUGGGAGACCUGAGGCUCAUCUCCAGUCCUCCAGGGGGAGUCGACGGCCUGGGCUUCCCCCUCUUGCCCAGACCCCCAACUAAAAGCCGGUUCAACAGUCUUUUUCAGAAUAAAUCCUCACUGGCUCUGCCAACCCACAAUAAUAAUAAUAGUAAUAAUAAUAAUGGUUCUACAUAAUUAAGGACAAAUUUCCUUUUCAUUUUCUUUUUUCUUUUUAGGGUUGCACCUGGGGUAUACGGAAGUUCCCAGGCUAGGGGUGGAACUGGUUCACAGCCACAGCAAUGCUGGACCUUUAUUUAACCUGCUGAGAGAGGCCAGGGAUCCAACCUGAAUCCACAUGGAUACUAGUCUAGUUCGUAACCUGCUGAGUUCCACAGCAGGAACUCCCAAGGUCAAAUUUCUUCUCCAUUCUUUCACUAACUUCUUUUGAAUAUUCUGCAACAACCAAAGUUCCAGAAUGCACACCUCACUUUCUGCUCCCGCACCUCCGGAAUUGCCCCUCUCAGCAUCCUUCACAGGAAUAUUAAACGCCAUCUUACUGAAGAAUCCUUUCUGCAUCUUUCCAGCCACGCACCCAGCCUAGAACUCCUGCAGCCCCUUCUCAUAUUCACUUGACCCGUCAUGUUUUCAUUGAGCAUCCCCUUUCCUGCCCAUGAUUGUAUUUCCAAAGAGAGAGAUUAAACACUCCAAAGUACUUCCAUGUACAAUAUUUCUAAACGGCCCAUUGGUCUUCGUGGUCUUAUUAUCCCCGUGAGUCAUUGCGGAAACAGAUGAAGAGCGUUAAGUGACCUGGUGAAGUUCAAAUCCAGUUAUCUAACUUAAUAACCAACCACCUUCUUUGACCCCCUUAUUGUAAAUUGGCUCUGUAUUCAUUUAUGAGUUUUUCAACUCUAGGUAUCAGUCCUUUGCAUUCAGGUGAUGCAUAUAUUAUAUAUUAAAUUCCUUACCACUAUGUUUUUGUAUAUAGUAUUUGUUAAGUGAAUGCAUAUGGCAUCGCAUUGAAUUGUGUUGAUUUGAUCUGAAUUCUGGAGACCUCCUACUUUUGAAAAUACAUUUUCUAAGCUAGUCAUGAUCUCGUCUGAUCUUCUGUUCUUUGUAUACUCACCCAAAACAUUUCUAUUAACUAGUCUUACCCCCUAGUGUGGAUCAGUCAAAUGCCUUCCUCUGCUUGGCAUCUUUGAUUAGACGUACUCUCAGGUUUUUUUUUCUCUCUAAACAGGCUGCUUGUUUGUGCUUAACUACUUUAUUCAUUUUGUCAUCCACCAGUGCUGCGUUCUUACGAAAACACUGACGAAGCAAAGUCUAAUAUGAUAAAUGGUGCAAAUAACAGCAAGAAAACUGUCGCUCAUUUUAGAUUCUGAGAACCUUCUAGGGCAAGAGCUUAGAGAUAGGAUGAUUUGUAACAUCAGAAGUCUGUCUCUUUGGGAGCAAAUUUAGCUUAGAAAAUAUAGACUCCAGGUUGGGCUCAAGGGACACACAUAUUUGAGACAUGCAUCUAUUACCUAAAUACUUGCUAACUUGCCUUGUGAUUCCUAAAUGAUUCAGCCUCAGAUGAACGUGGAUUGACUGUCUUCAUAAAAUAUAUACAAGUUAAAACUACCUAGAGUCCUCCAUUUUGUCAGAGGUCCUCUCGUUUCUAAAUCCCCUUGAGUUGACCUUGCAUCAAGAGCAUGAGUGUGAGCACCGGGCUCAGAGGUCAUAGCUUUGUCCAGUCCGAGGGCAGAAGGGUCUGGGGGCAAACUUGCCUGAGUUCCAGCCUUGUGUCUCAUUCCUCACUGGCUUGAUUUUCAAGUUCUUUAGAGAAAAACAUGAUUACUGUUAGCAGGUCACCAGCCAACACAAUUGCACACCCAUUAACCAUAGUUUCUAAGGAGGACCAAAAAGUUGCAGUACUGUGAGUAUAUGCUGUAUAAUGAGCAGAUGUGGUAAGGAAACUUUGAUGGCUGUGUGGUUGGGUUGAAGGAAGGAGACAAAGUCAACAGCAGCAGCUUCUGAAAGAGACAAAGCUGGAGAGAGAGCAGCAACUUAAAAGGGGCAGGGGGAGUGUUUGUUCUAAGCCUCAAUAGUAUAAUCCCAAACAGAAAAUAUUCCUACUGAAAUGAUUGGGAAAUGUGACCCAUUAGAGAGGGUGGAAUUUACCCUUUGAUUUACUUUCCCUUUGAAAAGAAUCAUCAUUGCCCACAGCAGGUAUGAAUUUUAUUAACUUAAUUUGCCAUCAGUUCAAGAAGUCAUUCAUUUCCUCAAAAUAAACUCAUUUUCAAAACUGAAAGAACGUUUCAAGCCUUAAAAAUGCAAAUAUGUCAUAGUUUGGCUGCAUUCAGCAAAUUCCUAGAAUCAAUCAGCCGAGAACAGAGUAAUUCUAUUACCGAAGAAGGAACUGAAAGCAUGCAAAUUAAAACAAGGAUAAAAAAUAACAUGUACAAGACACUCACCGUGUCUACAGAAGCAUCUUCCUUAUAGAUGCUGUGACAUUUUAACAAGUAAACUAUCACAUAUGAAUAAAAUAAGUAUAUAAUAUAAGACUAGGUUCUUUGAUAGGAUAGAAGACUUUUAAACUACUUGAGAGAUGAACUUGCUUUACGAAGCAACGGCUGUCCUGGAUCUGGUGAACUCAUAACAACAAUAAUUUACAUGCGCUAACAUUUUUAUUUUACAAAUCGCUUUUAUAAACCUUACCUUGUGUUAUGUGCAUGCAUGCACACGCAUACACACCCCUAAGACGUAGGUGGUGUGGAUACAGUCCUUCUUGUUGUAUGGAGAAGGAACCGAAGGUCCAAACUGAAGCCUGGACAAAGGACCUGGAGAACUCAGGGCUUCCCUCAGCCCCACACUCUUCCCCCAGGUAACGGAAGCCUAGAGAACUGAACAUCUCUGCUGGGGACCCCGGAGUGUCUCUGGUUUACACCUUAGCUUCAUUUAUUGAGCGUAGUGAUUAAGUUAGAAAGACAUGGCUUCCCUCUCUGCCAUUGUCUUGGCUGGUUGAACUUGGGAAAAUCGCAUAAGCUCUCUAAGACGCCCAGUUUCUCCUCUGGGAAAUAGAUUAUCAGACGAACCCAGUGGAAGGAUGCAUCUAAAGCACAGGGCGUGGUAUUUACACCCAGUGAUGAUUUGCUAUGGGGAACGCUCCAUCCUUUGGAAAUUAUGGGUCAAAUCAAAGUCAUCUUGUCUUUGGUGGGAAAUGGGGUGGUCUUCAGACAGGAAGUGGAACUUUUUGCAACAUGGAUCUGUUCCCAUAAAAAGCACUGAGGGCUGUCAGCACGUGUAGAUGCCCACAAAGGCGAGGUUGGAGUGCCAAGCUUCAAGGGCCUCUGGGUCCCUGCAGUCUGCAUCGUUUGUGCUCUGAGAAAACCACAGGUGCCUGGGAGGAAGCAGAGACGCUAAAUAGGCUGCAGAAUGAAAUAUAAAACCCAUGCUAAAACAACAACAGAGAGCAUCGAGGAUCCCCUUGGAAGCUACUGGAUCAAAGAAGACUCCUCCUUUGCUGCUGUGACCAUACCAUCUGGCAGGUGUCCUAGGAGAUUCCCACCUCAGCCUUCGGAGAACGCUCCCAUCACUUGUGGCGGCUGAAAGAUAGGAUUCUCCCCUCAACCCCCCAAAAUGUGGGAAAGCUUCUCCCUAGCCCCCCCAUAGGUAAUGCGUUGGAUGCCAAAUUUCCCUACUUUUAGGGGGAGCGUUAUCCUCCAAGAGUGUACACAAUGCUCUUACUAUUACCAUUUAAAAAGCCCUUUUAUGCAAACAAACGGAACUGCAUUUAAGGGGUGAUUAAAACAGAAUGGGGUGUGUGGUGC
rnacentral:lncRNA from 1 species